UUGAAAAGAAAAUUAGUCUCCUCUCUCUCGCUCACUCUCUCACUCGAUCUGAACACUGGACCAAGAAAACCCUAGAUCCCUCAUCCCAUCUCCCUCUCUCUCGCUGCCGCACUGAAACCUAACUCAAAUUCUGAGUCGACGUCGUUGGCAGUUUCCAUCACAAAUAAACUCUCUGCUUGGUAUUGUCCACUUGGGGGAUGUCAGCAUGACAGGGGUCAUCAAAUCUCCGCAUGAGAUUUUCUUGUAAGAAACCCAUGGGAUAUGGGAACUGAUGCGAAAUCAUGAGGAAACCAAAGUCGUAACCAUUGAUGGCUAUGAAGAUAUGUCAGAAUCAGACAGUGCUCUCUUGUGUGCUACUAUUCUGCAGCCCAUUAGUGUGGGUAUAGAUGGCUCCGCUAUGGACUUUCAACUAUAUCUGAAUGUAGUAUCUUUUAAUGUAUUCUGUUAUGCAUUGUUGGGUGACCCUUUGCACUCUUUUCUGAAAUAUCCAUAUGUCUAUAUGAUUUACUUUUUAAUUUGUUGAUUACAGGCCAUCCAUUUACCAGAUCAAGGUGAAAGAAAUCAAAUAUUCCCCCAAAUUCAAAAUUCAAGAUUCAAGAUGUGAAGAGUUAUCAUAUUGUAUUAGUUUAAUUAGUUGUCAUGUAUUAUUAUUUAUUUAUUUUUUUGUAAAUUUAUGUUUUGCACUGUGAUGU